GCUUGCGUUUGUCCGGUGGCGGAACCGGGGCGCUGCGGACGCCCUCGUUAAUGGAUAGUUCUGAGUCAUCGCGCCGGCU
rnacentral:tRNA from 1 species